rnacentral:lncRNA from 1 species
AGAGAUGGAGGGCUGCGGGUUCCAUAUUCAUAGAUUCAACCUGGUUCUAUACAUUGGAGCUAAUACAACAUGUGAUAUCAAAUCAGUUAGAUCCCACCUUAGAAACAGGGUGCACCUAUACAUUGCUGGUGCCCUUGCUAACUCUCGUAACAUGUUAGUUGACUCUCGUAACAUGCUAGUCGGAUCGGGGAACGGAGAUCUACCACUCCAACGGGCGCUCCUAUCCCAAUCCUAUACCCACCGGACCUGGUUCCAUACGCUGUGAGGUCGGUUCUAUCGAAACGAAACACAGAACCGGGCUCCCAUGCAUGGGAGCGGGUUCUACAGAAUAAAAAAUUUGAUCUCCUCCCUCAACCCACCUUUCUCUCUCCUGCCGUCGCUGCUCCCGCCCGCCGCCUGGAUGAAGCCGAGGUCGAGCAGAUCCGUCUGGACGAAGCUGAGGCCAUGGCACCGCUCCGAGCUCGCCCGCGCUGCUGUUCCGGCCGCCUCCUCGCGGUGCUACCUUCGACCCCGCCGUCUGCGGUGCUUCCUGGAUGCCUCGUCCACGGCCACACCUGCAACCCCAGCAUGCGUUGCUGCAGCAUGAAGGUUGGGGGCGUCGCUGACUGAGGAUGGACGGAGGAGCGUCGUCACCUGGCCUCGUUCGGCCUCCGCAGCAAUGGCGUCUGGAACGAAGGGGCCGCUUCACUGGAGGCUAUCUUCUCCGAAUCCGGCACCAUAGCCUUCAGAUCCAGCCGCUAGGUGUUUGAUUUGUGCCUUUUUGGGGAGUAGGUUGGGAGGAUUUGAGGCAGAUCAGAACUGGGAAGGGAAGAGGAUGGAGACAACAAGAAGAGGAAGCGGCGUGCUGCCGGUUGCCUCCAUGGGGAAGAAAGGGGUAGUUGAGAAGAAAUUGAUUUUCUUAUUUAUAUGUGGGUCCCACUCAAACCAUGUAACCGGCUCUUUCCUGU